AUGGCCAAAUGCGGCAAGAUCCAGAGCAUCGUCCGCCUCCAGCAGACGCUGCGGCGGUGGCGUUCCCGGGCCGCGGCGGCGCCGACGGCUCCGGUGCCGGCGGGGCACGUGGCGGUGUGCGUGGGCAGCGAGUCGCGGCGGUUCGUGGUGCGCGCGGCGCACCUCAACCACCCCGUGUUCCGUGAUCUGCUCCGGCAGUCGGAGGAGGAGUACGGCUUCCCGUCCACCCCUGGCCCCGUCGCCCUGCCCUGCUGCGACGAGGACCGUUUCCUGGACGUCCUCCGCCGCGUGUCCUCCGAGGACCGCCGAGGCCGCUCGGUCUGCUGCCGCGUGCCGGUCGUCACCAGCCGCGACGUCGCGGCGCGGCCGCUCCUGCAGGGGAUGGCGGUGGAGAAGCUGGUGUGGUGA
rnacentral:rRNA from 1 species